GGGCGAUUAGCUCAGUUGGGAGAGCACCUGCCUUACAAGCAGGGGGUCACUGGUUCGAGCCCGGUAUCGCCCC
rnacentral:tRNA from 1 species